GAGGAGUUAAACUCGGGAAACUGAGGAUAAUGCUUUAUAGAAAAUCAAAUCUGGAAUGAUUGAUUUUUAAAAGGCUUAAGUUAUCAUGUAGAUUUAAGCGCGAAAAGAUGGGACUGCGUCAGAUUAGGUAGUUGGCAGGGUAAAGGCCUACCAAGCCGAAGAUCUGUACGGGCCUUGAGAGAGGGAGCCCGGAGAAGGAAACUGAGAUAAUGUUCCUAGCCCUACGGGGUGCAGCAGUUACGAAAAUUUUACAAUGCGGGAAACCGUGAUAAAGGAAUUCCAAGUGCUUACAUUUGUAAGCUUUUACAUUGUGUCGAUAACAAUGUGAAUAAGGGGGGGGCAAUAUGCGUGCCAGCCGCCGCGGUAAUACGUAAUCCCCGAGUGGUAUCCAGCAUUAUUUGGUUUAAAGCGUGUGUAGUUGGUUUGUUAAGUCUUUUGUGAAAGCAGCUGACUUAAUCAGUUGAAUUGCAAAAGAUACUGACAGGACUAGAGAUAGGGAGACGUCUAGGGUAUUCCUAGAGUAGGAGUAGAAUCUUAAGAUACUAGGAAGACCACCUGUGGCGAAGGCGCUAGACGAGAACUAAUCUGACAAUGAGACACGAAAGCUGGGGGCGCAACCCGGAUUAGAUACCCGGUUAGUCCCAGCUGUAAACGAUGUGGAUUAGGUGUUGGGUUAACUACGAGUUAACUCAGGGCCGAAGAGAAAUCAUUAAAUCCACCACCUGGGAAGUAUGGUCGCAAGACUGAAACUUAAUGGAAUUGGCGGGGGUGCACUACAAGGGGUGGAUGCUGCGGUUUAAUUGGAUGAAACGCCAGAUAUCUCACCAGGGCUGACAGCCAGAUGACGGUCAAUCUGAAGGGUUUACCUGAUACGCUGAAAGCUGCUGUAUGGCCAUCGUCAGCUCGUACUGUGAAGCUUCCUGUUAACUCAGGUAACGGGCGAGACCCAUGUUAUUAGUUGCUACUUCAUUUCUUUAUGAUUUGGAGGCACUCUAAUAAGACUGCAUUGGUAACAAUGAGGAAGGAGUGGGCGAAGGUAGGUCUGUAUAGCGCUAAUGUCCUGGGCAACACGCGGCAUACAAUGGUUACGACAAUGUGUAUCUAACCCGAAAGGGGGUGGCAAUCACAGAAACGUAAUCCAAGUCCGGAUUGAGGGUUGCAACUCACCCUCAUGAAGCUGGAAUCCCCAGUAAUCGCGUGUCACUAUCGCGCGGUGAAUAUGUCCCUGCGCCUUGCACACACCGCCCAUCAAGCCAGUUGAGUGGAGUGUAGAUGAACUUCAAUCUUUCGAGGUCGAAGUAAUUCUAUAUCCCGCGAGACAGACUAAGUUGUAACAAGGU
rnacentral:rRNA from 1 species